rnacentral:lncRNA from 1 species
AAAUGUUCUUAAACCUCUUUCCUUUGCCACUUAGGGAGGGCAUUUGUCUUGAUCAGCUUCUCCUUAAGGGUCCCAUUCCCUAGCUCACAAAAAUCUUGGCCCCAGGCUCACUUCCCCCUGCAUUGUAAGUUUUGCUACAACUCUAAAUGUAGCUUUCCUGUACGUGAUUCAUUUAAACUUCUGGCUUCCUAGUUCCUCUUAAAUUAAUG